rnacentral:rRNA from 1 species
UACGUAGGGGGCAAGCGUUGUCCGGAAUUAUUGGGCGUAAAGAGCGUGUAGGCGGUCCGGUAAGUCAGCUGUGAAAGUCAAGGGCUCAACCCUUGAAAGCCGGUUGAUACUGUCGGGCUAGAGUCCGGAAGAGGCGAGUGGAAUUCCCGGUGUAGCGGUGAAAUGCGCAGAUAUCAGGAGGAACACCGAUGGCGAAGGCAGGUCUCUGGGCCGAUACUGACGCUGAGGAGCGAAAGCGUGGGGAGCGAACAGG